rnacentral:rRNA from 1 species
AUGUUUUUCUACAGAGCUUACUCUUCAGAAGAGAUGGGAGAUAGAGAAAGGCGAAUGGUGUUUGUGACAGUAGGGACGACAUGUUUUGAUGCUCUUGUCAAAGUGGUAGAUUCUGAGGAAGUCAAACAAGCACUACUGCAGAAAGGUUACACAGACCUUCGGAUUCAAAUGGGCCGAGGAACAUACACGCCAUCCAAGGCCUCAGGAAAUUCAAAUCUUCAAGUUGAGCAUUUCACCUUUUUACCAAGCAUAGCUGACAACAUACGAGAAGCAUCCUUAGUCAUCAGUCAUGCAGGUUCUGGCAGCAUAUUUGAGACGCUGCAACUGGGCAAGCCUCUUAUCGUCGUUGUGAAUGAAGAUCUGAUGGAUAAUCACCAAAGUGAGUUAGCAGAGGAACUGGCCGAGAGGAAUCACCUUUUGUGUGCCCAUCCACAGACGCUGCGAGCAACCGUCGAGGCGAUGGAUCUGCAUGCGCUCCAGCCGUACAUUCCAGGAGAGGCGAGGCCAGUUGUGGCACUGAUCAACGAAUUUCUUGGUUUUCCUGUCGAUUGA